rnacentral:rRNA from 1 species
AGAGUUUGAUCCUGGCUCAGAUUGAACGCUGGCGGCAUGCUUUACACAUGCAAGUCGAACGGUAACAGGGUGCUUGCACCGCUGACGAGUGGCGAACGGGUGAGUAAUGCAUCGGAAUGUACCGUGUAAUGGGGGAUAGCUCGGCGAAAGCCGGAUUAAUACCGCAUACGCCCUGAGGGGGAAAGUGGGGGACCGAAAGGCCUCACGUUAUACGAGCAGCCGAUGUCUGAUUAGCUAGUUGGUGAGGUAAGAGCUCACCAAGGCGUCGAUCAGUAGCGGGUCUGAGAGGAUGAUCCGCCACACUGGGACUGAGACACGGCCCAGACUCCUACGGGAGGCAGCAGUGGGGAAUUUUGGACAAUGGGCGCAAGCCUGAUCCAGCCAUGCCGCGUGUCUGAAGAAGGCCUUCGGGUUGUAAAGGACUUUUGUCCGGGAGCAAAUCCUAGUGGUUAAUAACCGCUGGGUCUGAGAGUACCGGAAGAAUA